CCCACUAGCUGUGAGACAUAUCCAUUGCAGUGCCAAAUAAAGAAACUUUUCCAUGAAUUAAUAACAGCAAGACAAUGGUCCGCGUGUUGUAUAUAAUAAAUAUUACACAGGUUUUGCAUAUGUGUAGCCGGUGCAUAUAGACCUAUGAGGAAUUACGUAUGCAUGCUCAAGAACCUAUGUUCGUACAUACAUACACAAAUCAUAUAGAACAAAAGGUAUGCUCCGGUCCGAAAGCAGAGUCGUGCAGCAGAGUUGUGGACAAAAGUGAAGUUCACAAAAGACCUUCAUACGAGAUAGGCCAUUGUUUCAACUCGUAGUUUAGGCCUUGCCGGACUCCUCGCAACCCGGUGGCCUGAAGGCGAUGAAGCUGACGCACUGCACCUGGCGCAGGUUGUCGAAGCCGAUGACACGGACAUAGGCGUCAGGGUACUCCUUCUUGACCUCCUCCACCUCGUUGAGCACCUGUGUGGCGUCGGUGCACCCAAACAUGGGCAGCUUCCACAUUGUCCAGUAUCGACCGUCGUAGUACCCGGGGGAGCUGUUGUGCUCACGGAAGACGAAGCCAACCUUGCUGAACUCGAGGCAGGGCACCCACUUGGAGCGGAUCAGGUAGUCGACCUGCUUCAGGAGGGCUUCCGUGGAGAGGGGUGGCAAGUAAGACAAGGUCUCGAACUUCUUGAUGCCCUCAAUUGGCCACACCUGAAUGAAUAGAAUGCGCACAGAUGCUCAAUACUUGGUGAUAAGUCAAUUAAUUGUACUAACAAUGCUAGAAUAAAUCAGACGGCAUGCCAAAAAUUGCUCCUUAUGGGCAGCUCUCAUAUGCAUUGCUGGGUUGUUCACAAUCAAUAAAGCUUUGGUUGUACUUAGUUCUAGUAUAUGGGUCCUAUUUCGAGGAUGGGUUUGGUUAUAUACAUCGGGGAUGUUCUGUAAGUGAAUUACUUGCACUGACAAAGAAACUCAUAUCAAUUAGUGCCCGACAUACCUGCAUGCACCUGAUCCUUCCGCCAUUGCUGACGCUGCCGAGGCUGGCGCUGGAGCGGCGGCUGACGGGGAGACCGGCUGUGGACUUGAGCCCCUGGAAGGGUGCAACGGUGGUAGCCGACGAAGCCAUCACGGCGGGGGCCAUGGUAUUCUAUUAACUGGAGGAGAGGAGGAUGCCGGCUACAGUUGAGGCCCCCAUUGCCGGGUCACCACGCUAUAUAUAGACUCGUUUCUUUGGUACAGAUGUGGUAGCGGUGGCUGACGUUCGCUGGUUGCCUCGUUUCCUUAUCUUCUCCGGAUCAGUGGAAGAAGCAUUGCCGUCGGAUACAUUGUGUGUGCUGGAAAUUUCAGUCCUUCAUGUCAUUAGGUGGCUGCCACACAACCUUUUUUCUAGCUUUGCUUGUUUUUGGGUGAGUUCCUUGAUAACAAAUUGUCUGAGGAUGCGAGUGAGUUGGGUGGGCAAAAUAUUUUCAUUUUAUCAUAAAAUUUGCUGGCUCACUCUUGAAACUAUGCUCAUAGGCGUAUAGUGUGCGUGUGUGCAAUCAUAGAGGGUGGUGUACAUACGUGUAUGUGAAUGUCUGCAUUUGUACAAUGUUUUUCAAAAUAAAAUAUAUGUUUUCUUGGUAGAAUUAACUGAACUAGCAUAGUAAAAUAUAUGUUUCCCCCCUCCAUAUCCGUCGAUGUGCCUAUGGAUUCGCCUCCCCUUGGAGGGAAGGGAAUUCUCUGUAAAGAAGUAGUGAUCUAAACGCUUUUAUAUUUCUUUACGGAGGGAGUAGGAUUUUAGUUCUUGUAGGAGUGGCGCUUGGACAGAUGGCGGCCCUUCUUCUUCGAGUCAAUCUUCCGGGAUCCGGUCGUCUUCAAGCUCCUCGGGCAUAUGCAAAACGAGAUUUGGUGUCAGGUUCUUCAGACCGAUUCAGGGAUUCGACGACGACGACUACGGCUCCAGAGCGUUCAUUCUUAGGGGCGUGUGCAUGAAGACUUCCUCGCUGCCAUCGACAAGGUCUGGCUAGAACCAGUGUGGGAGCAAAGACAACGGCUCGUUUUGACGGAGGCAAUGGUCGUUCGGUGUCGUUCGGUGGUCCAUAGACCUAGAUGUACUUUUUACUAUGUUUGAGGUGCUUUCUACUUUCGGUGAAUCUUUUCUUUUAGGGCAGGUGAUCUGCCUUUUCAUUGAUGUUUAGGAAGGUAUAGGGGAGGGCUAAAGUGCCAAAGGAAAGAAGAAAAACAUAAAAAAAAACAGAAAAGAGAUCCAGUUGCACAAAUCACUGAUGUACAAAGCGCUAGCCUAAGGCACGACUUUCGGUGAAUCUUUAUAUUAGAUCUUAUUCUUUACGCAAAAAAAAAAGAAAUUGAACUAGGAGGUAAAAGCACUAGAGGUCCUAGAACUUGGCUAACAUGUGAUGGUUUAGUCCUAAAACUUGCAAAAGUGAACUAUGUAGUCCUAUAACUUGUACACAACCUGCAAAUUUAGUCCAAAGCCAAUCAGAGGCGGCCAAGUGGCGCCAGCUGGCUGUGUUUCAUUUUGCAUAUACCCCCUUUUUUUGUCAAAUUAACCCGCAAGUACUAGUAAUACACGGGGCUAGCAGCAGCAGUAGGGCUAGCUAGUGCGGGCUUUGAGAAUUGAGAUUGGUUCAUCAUGUGAAACUGCAAUCUCCCUUCCAAUCAAACACAUUAAGAUACGCAGGUUGGGCGCUUCCUAGGCUAUGCCACGUCGGAUCGCUGGAAGACAAAACAGAUCGCUGCAAAAAAAAGAUUGCUGGGAGAAAAAAUGAUGGUCGGUUGGGCAGCGGCCAAAUAACACAUGCCUCUCGAUCUGCUUUCCCUUCCUCACUAAGAAAUAUCCAAUUCCACACGCAACCUCGUAGUCGCAUCGCUCUCCUCGACAACUGCUACGCGUCCAUGCGCCGCCACCGCCGCCACUUCUCCCGCGCCUUCUCCUCCCAGUUCCUCUCUGCCCUACGCCACCCCCGCCUCCUUGACCACCUAUCUCCUCCUCUGGGAGCACUACUUUCAGUUUUCCAUUCCAAUUGGAUGGUCUACAACAUUGAUCCAUAUUUUGUAGGAACACUUAUAUUGCUGAACUGAACUUGAUAUCAAAUCAGUGUUUAGUUUAUAAAUAAUUUCUAUAAGUGAUACAUCUUUCAGUGUAAAUGCAUUUUUUCUCAAGACUACUUGGGGAAAAAAUAGCAGACAUCAAAUGAAAUGUAUAAUUUUGUCAUCGGAAAAUCAAAUGAAAGCCACGGAAAGACCCCAAAACAUCAUAUUAAGAUCACCAUUGACUAUCCAAAUCUAAGUCCACCGCAUUCGUUAUAAAGAAAUUCUUUUCCAUGAAACUAAACCACGCCAACACUAAAAUUCAUGAACGAAAGUCAUCCAUAAUAUUAUGUUUCAUUAUAUGAGACGGUAGUUAUUUCGUCAUUUAAAGUGAUGAUAUGGCUCCAUCGUGGUAUUAGAUGUGGCCUUUCCUAUGACGAUGUGGUAUCAUCAUUUUUUUCUAAUCUAAUAAAAAGUCUUACAUAUUGGUCUCACAAUCCGAAAACUCUCCUUUGCACGCACGCGUUGGGACUGGUGAAGCGCUCCGCACAAGAAGUCAGGUUCCGACCGCGCGCUAUAUUCCUUUCCAAACUUUGGCAUGCCGUUUAACUGAGAAUGGUGGCCCCACAUAGUAUCGCAGCCCACUGUCAUGGAACUAAAUGUGUUGGGCUCACCCCACAUGUUACACGCAUUCACGGAAGGGCUAGUUGUGGUGUCAUCUUGGUUUUCACUUCAGUGUGAUUUCUUUGAUUUCACUGAAUUUCAGGAAUUUCAGUAGACACCGAAAUAUUUACCUUUCAAUCAGAAUAUUUCAGUCAUUUCAGUUGUACACAUGAAUUCAAAUAUUUUCAAAAUAUCUUUAAAUAUUGUUUUGAAUUUCAAGUGAAUAUUUUGGUCUUUUGGCCAAAAUGCAAGCUGAAAUUACUGAAAUUCAGUAACUUUGGUAGGUACUGAAACAACCGUAGGGUUUUUGCCUGAAUAUGAAUUUUGUCAUGAAACAUAUAGGGUUUUGACCUCCGAUGUAGGUUCUAUAACAAAAUUGAUAGUUUCGUCAUGGAAGGACCUAUGUUUAUGACAAAAACACAAAACAUCACAGAUAAUUCAUUAUAGAAGGCCAAAACUUUACUAGUAGAAGAUAUCUUGGGACUCGUCAAUUGGAUAUGUAAUUUGCACAUAUUUGUCUAGUCCACACGUUCUCUGGUUUAUUGGAAUUGCUGCAAUACUGUAAAAAAAUAGUAUCUAAUUGCGGUGUAAAAUGGUUAGAAAAAGUGACAUGUCUUUGAUGAAUCGAUGAUGGAAUAUGCCUCACAAGACAAGUGCACUAUGGUAUUUUGUCCUUGUCUUGUUUUGACACCUGUUGUUUGUCCUUUUUCUAGUUUUUAAAUUUUAGUUUUUGGCUUUUUAUUAUUAUCUGGUUCUCAUCAAUGUCCUACUGUUUUGCCACUAGUUUUCAAUGGGGUCACACCAUCUCUUUAUGUGUUUCCCACAGUAUUUUUUGACGUACUUUGGUAUUCCAUAAGAAUUUUCGCAUUAGAUAAUACACAUCAUAUGAUUGAGCAAAAAAUGUAAGAGAAUAAAACAUUGCAAGGCAUAGGCAUUUCCAGUUGCAAACAAAGUUUCUUUUCCAUCAAUUGAUGGCAAGACAAUAAUCCGCGGAUUGCAUAUAAUAUAUAUGUGUAUGUGUAGCCGGUGCUAUAAUUCUGACAUGCAUCCUCCUCGGCCUACGUUGGUAGGUGCUUACAUAUGCUCAUAUAUUCACAUAUGAGUAGAACCAGAAAUAAAACCGAGAAAGCAGAGCUGCUGACAAAUGUGAACUAACAUGGCAUGUAUAUCGGACUUGCACUUUAGGCCUUGCCGGAUUCCUCGCAGCCUGGUGGCCUGAAGGCAAUGAAGCUGACGCACUGCACCUGGCGCAUGUUGUCGAAGCCAAUGACGCGGACAUAGGCGUCAGGGUACUCCUUCUUGACCUCCUCCACCUCAUUGAGCACCUGCGUGGCGUCAGUGCACCCGAACAUAGGCAGCUUCCACAUUGUCCAGUAUCGACCGUCGUAGUACCCGGGGGAGCUGUUGUGCUCACGGAAGACGAAGCCAACCUUGCUAAACUCGAGGCAGGGCACCCACUUGGAGCGGAUCAGGUAGUCGACCUGCUUAAGGAGGGCCUCCGUGGAGAGGGGUGGCAAGUAAGACAGGGUCUCGAACUUCUUGAUGCCCUCAAUCGGCCACACCUGAAUAGAUGGAAUUAACACAAUUGAUCAACACUUAGUGCUUAAACAAAGACCUAGCCAUAAUAAGGCAAAAAUUGCUCCUUAUGUCCAUACAUUUGUGGGGGGUCUCCACACGCAAGAAAGCACAAGGGCACCUCUUUCUUAUCGGUAGUGUAUGGGCAUUAAAAUUAAUAUUAUCUAGUACACAUUGGAAUAAAAUCGAUUUCCAUUCACAAAGUUUAUGAGUUAAAUAUUCCUACACAUGUGAACCUGCUUACGGACUACAUUGUGAAGCACAGUUUGGCCUGGCAUGUGGGCGUCCUAAGGAUAGCUUUGCCUAUGUGCAGUGAAAUACCCGAUAAAUUAAUCAAUUGUGGCGACAAAAACAUUCAUGCCAGCUUAGUGUCCGUCAUCCUUCGCUAAAAAAAAUCAAAAAGGAGGAUAACUCUAGCCUCUGCAUCAAGUGAUAUGCACACUGUCAUUUUUAUUAUAUUAUUCAACAGAGUCUAACAAAACAAAUACGAUUUUAAACCAAAGCCAUCUUCGAGACGAACAAAAUCGCUACACCUACAAGUACGAUGAUGUGCCUUAACCGCAUCAUCCUUCGCAAAAACAAUAUUCAGCUUUCAUACCUGCAUGCAUCUGAUCCUUCCGCCAUUGCUGACGCUGCUGAGGCCGGCGCUGCCGGAGCGGCGGCUGAUGGGAAGGCCGGCGGUCGACUUAAGCCCCUGGAAGGGCGCGACGGUGGUGGCGGAAGACGCCAUCACGGCUGGGGCCAUGGUGGAGUACGUGAAUUGCUAGGUGGGGAGGCGAUAGCUAGCUAGGCCACACUUGACUUGAGCCCUCCUCAUGCCGCUCCAGUAUAUAUCAGCAUAUGCGCAGCGCCGCUCCUUUCAAACGAGAUUUCGAAGGGGUGGUCGUCGUUUGCUUGCUGCAAGGCGCCUUAUCCCUCUGGAUCAGCGGAAGAGGGGUGCAAAAUCAAAAUGAAUGCCACGGAAAGACCCCAAAACGUCAUAUAGAUCACCAUUGAUCAUCCAAUUCUAAGGUCACUGCAUUCGUAAUGAACAAAUUCUUUGGCGUGAAACUAAACCACGCCAACACUAAAAUUCAUGAAGGGAAGUCAUCCAUACUCGUAUGUUUCAUUAUAUGAGACGGUAAUUAUUUCUUCAUUUAAAGUGUUGAUAUGGCUCCACCAUGGUAUUAGACGUGGCAUUUUCCUAUAGGAUGUGGUAUCUUCAUUUUUUUUCUAAUUUAGUAAAACUUCUUCAUAUAGGUCUCACAAUCUGAAAAUUCUCAUUCGCACGCGCGCGUUGGGUAGGUGAAGCGCUCCGCACAAUAAGUCAGGUUCCGGCCGCGCGCUAUAUUCCUUUCAUAAUUUUCACAUGUCGUUUAAUUAAGAAUGGUGGCCCCAUAUGGUAUAGCAGCCCAUUGCCAUGGAAUUAAAUGUGUUGGGCCCACCCCACCUGAUACGCGCAUUCGCGGAAGGGCUAGUUGUGGUGGCAUCAUGGUUUUCACUUUUACUGAUAUAUCUUUGAAUUACACCAAAUUUCAGUAGACAACGAAAUAUUUACCUUUCGGCCAAAAUAUAUCAGUCAUUUCAAUUCUACACAUAAAUUCAAAUAUUUUUCAAAAUAUUUUCAUAUAUUUUUUCACUUUCGGGUGAAUAUUUUGGUCUUUUGGUCAAAAUGCGAAUUGACACUACUGGAACUUAGUAAUUUUGGUAGGUACUCAAAUGAAAAAACAUGGGUGCCAUGGCAUGCAGGCCCACCCCGUGAUCAAUAUAUAAUCUCCCACUAAAUUUCAGGUGGGGGCUAGUUUCCCUACAAUAAUGAAUAAUCCAAGGGAACGGAAAUAUCACUGCACACUUUCCUAAUAGGGAUGUGGACAGCGAGUCGGAAAUCAACCACGCGGAAGCGCGUGCGAUUUAGCACCCAAAAAAUAAUUCAAGUUAAUAUAAUUUUAGCCUGGCGUGCGUGUACCUCCACAAUGUAAUGGGCUACUGUUGUUUGCAACUAAUUGUUUCGUAAUGUUAUGACUGAAUAUGGAUUUUCUCAUGAGACAUAUAGGGUUUCUGCCUCUUAGGCAGGUUUUAUGACAAAAUUGAUAGUUUCGUCAUGGAAGGACGUUCAUCGUAGAAGGCCAAAAUAUUACUAGUACAAGGUAUCUUGGGGCUCAUCAAUUGGAUAUGUAAUUUGCACAUAUUUGUGCCCUCAACACGUUCUUUGGUUUAUUGGAAUUUCUGUAAUACUGCAAAAAAAAGUAUCUAAUUGCAGUGUAAAAUGGUUAGAAAAAGUGACAUGUCUUUGAUGAAUCGAUGCAGGAAUAUGGCUCACAUGACAAGUGCAUUAUGGUAGUUUGUCCUUGUCUUGUUACGACACCUUUGUUUGUCCUUUUUCUAGUUUUUUAUUAUUAUUUUUGUUUUUUUAUUAUCUGUUUCUCGUCAAUUCCCUAUUGUUUUGCCAUUAGUUUUCAAGGGGGUCUCACCAUCUUUUAUGUGUUUCUCCACAGUAUUUUUUGAAGUACUUCGGUAUUCCAUAACAAUUUCCGUAUUAGACAAUACACAACAUAUGAUUGAGCAAGAAAUGCAUGAGAAGAAAACAAUGGAAGACAUAGGCAUUUCCGGCUGCAAAGAAAGUAACCUUUCCAUCGAUUGAUGGCAAGACACUAAUCCGUUGAUUGCAUAUAAUAUAUAUGUAUAUGUAUAGCCGGUGCUAUAAUUCUCAUAUGCAUCCUCCUCGACCUACAUUGGUAGGUGCUUACAUACAUAUGCUCGUAUAUUCACAUAUGAGUAGAACGAGAAGUAAAACUGAGAAAGCAGAGCCGCCGACAAAUGUGACUAACAUGACAUGUAUAUCAGUUACUUCAACUUGCACUUUAGGCCUUGCCGGAUUCCUCGCAGCCUGGUGGCCUGAAGGCAAUGAAGCUGACGCAUUGCACCUGGCGCAUGUUGUCGAAGCCGAUGACGCGGACAUAUGCAUCAGGGUACUCCUUCUUAACCUCCUCCACCUCAUUGAGCACCUGUGUGGCGUCGGUGCAACCGAACAUAGGCAGUUUCCAC
rnacentral:lncRNA from 1 species